GACGAACGCUGGCGGCGUGCUUAACACAUGCAAGUCGAACGGAAAGGCCCUGCUUUUGUGGGGUGCUCGAGUGUCGAACGGGUGAGUAACACGUGAGUAACCUGCCCUUGACUUUGGGAUAACUUCAGGAAACUGGGGCUAAUACCGGAUAGGAGCUCCUGCUGCAUGGUGGGGGUUGGAAAGUUUCGGCGGUUGGGGAUGGACUCGCGGCUUAUCAGCUUGUUGGUGGGGUAGUGGCUUACCAAGGCUUUGACGGGUAGCCGCCCUGAGAGGGUGACCGGCAACAGGGGGAUAGAGAAGGGACCCAGACUGAAGCGGGGGGAAGGGGGGGGAAAUAGGACAAAGAGGGCGGAGGGAUGAAACAGAGGCGCCGGGUGGGAAAGGAGGGCUGUGGGGGUAGAACCGGUUUGGGAGGGGAAAGAAGAGGGAGUGACGGUAGGGGAAAAGAAAGAACCGGAAAACUACGUG
rnacentral:rRNA from 1 species